UUGGCGCUUCUGCUUUCGCUUGAAGGAUAUAAGAGUCUGUGUAAAAUUAAACGUUUCUCAAUUUUUUCGGGGUUUUAGAGCAACGUGGAAAAUAAUUUUCGAAGACGUUUCGAAAGCACGUGCUUCGGGCAAAACUUCAAGAGAAAGUAGUUUGAAACAAUGGACAAAACUCCUUUAAUCUUUUGAUUCAAGAGAAAGCCGAUGAAUACAAAAAGUACCAAUUUAUAAUCGUCUCUUCAGGUGAAAGCAGCCGUUGAUUUUGCUCAAUAAAAACGGCAGGAAGGAAGCAAGCAAAACAGCCCAGAUUAAAAACCCAAACCAGACCAGACAUUUUCACUUGGAUUUUCUGCAGCAAUUCGAGACGGUAAUUUUGAAACAACUCAGUUUUGAAAUCAGCGACGGAAGAAAACUUUUUAAAGGCUCAUGGCUGAAGGCGCAAAAAACCACUAAAAAACUAAAAAAAAGUAGACCCAAUAAAAUCAGUUCUAAACAACCAAAUAAACGAAAUUGCUAUGUAUCAAAACACAAAAUACACGCAAAAACUUGGAACAAAUAACUGAAUUCAACGGUGUUUACAACCAAAAAUCAACAUUUU